UCAAAUACAAAAUAAUACAUACUGUAAUUAUAGAAAAAACUGUACAAAGAUAUGCAGUUUAUAUUCUUUCUUCUGCCACAUUACUCAUCAAACUUUGCUGAUGAAAAAUAUGUGAUGUGCUUUUUUUUUAUUGUUAUUUGCCAGAUUGGACAGAAGAAUUGUGCAGACUCUACUACACCCAGCACUUCACACUUGUUAAUAUGUCAAUAACAAAAUAAUGUAUGAACUUCAUGUCAUGUCAUAUUGGUUUCCACCAUUACCAGCUUGUACCAAAGAAGUGCUAUAUAAACUAUGUGUAUUCAUAAUAUUUUCAGUUUAUCAGUCAUCCAUUGGAAAAGAUGUUUUUUGUAUCAUUGGUUAUAUUGUUUUCCUUCUAUAUAUUUGCCAUGUUGUACAGAAUAACUGUGCAGGUUUAAUAACUUCCAGCAUUUGCUAACUUUUGCUUCAAAAAAAUUUGUAACAUAUAUAUGUCUCCUAUUUUUUCCCAUUGGCAUUGUCAGAUUGUAAAGAUGACUGUACAGGCAAAAAAAAAAUUCUGUAAACAUGC
rnacentral:lncRNA from 1 species